rfam:Acetivibrio ethanolgignens strain ACET-33324 ACET-33324.Scaf47, whole genome shotgun sequence.
UACGGAAAAGGGCUGAUAAUUCUUAAAAAUGCAUAGCCUACAGAGGCAAAAAACACGGAGGUUUUUUGAGCGGACUUGAGACAGGAGGUCGAAUGUCCGCGUACUCGUCACUUGUAGUAAAUUAUAUAAUUUGCUCAAUGAAUCGAAAAUUAGUAUCGU